CAACGCUGGCGGCGCGCCUAACACAUGCAAGUCGAGCGAGAAAGGGGCAACCUGAGUAAAGCGGCGUACGGGUGAGUAACACGUGGAUCAUCUGCCCUCUAGUGGGGAAUAACUCUGGGAAACCGGAGCUAAUACCGCAUAAGUCCGAGAGGAGAAAGCAGCAAUGCGCUGGAGGAGGAGUCCGCGGCUGAUUAGCUAGUUGGUGGGGUAAAGGCUCACCAAGGCAUUGAUCAGUAGCCGGCCUGAGAGGGCACACGGCCACACUGGCACUGAGACACGGGCCAGACUCCUACGGGAGGCAGCAGUGGGGGAUCUUGCACAAUGGGGGAAACCCUGAUGCAGCGACGCCGCGUGAGCGAUGAAGCCCUUCGGGGUGUAAAGCUCUUUCGACGGGAACGAUAAUGACGGUACCCGGAGAAGAAGCUGCGGCUAACUACGUGCCAGCAGCCGCGGUAAUACGUAGGCAGCAAGCGUUGUUCGGAGUUACUGGGCGUAAAGAGUACGUAGGCGGUUUGCUAAGUCUGGUGUGAAAUCUCCUGGCUUAACUGGGAGGGUGCGCUAGAUACUGGCAGGCUUGAGUAUGGGAGAGGAGAGCGGAAUUCCUGGUGUAGCGGUGAAAUGCGUAGAUAUCAGGAGGAACGCCGGUGGUGUAGACGGCUCUCUGGACCAUUACUGACGCUGAGGUACGAAAGCGUGGGUAGCAAACAGGAUUAGAUACCCUGGUAGUCCACGCCCUAAACGAUGCGGACUUGGUGUAGGCAGUUCAGUCUGUCUGUGCCGGAGCUAACGCGUUAAGUCCGCCGCCUGGGGAGUACGGUCGCAAG
rnacentral:rRNA from 1 species